rnacentral:rRNA from 1 species
GACGAACCGAGCGAACGUUGUUCGGAAUCACUGGGCUUAAAGGGCGCGUAGGCGGGCUGUCAAGUCUGGGGUGAAAUCCCGCGGCUCAACCGUGGAACUGCCUCAGAUACUGACGGCCUCGAGGGAGAUAGGGGCGAGCGGAACUAAUGGUGGAGCGGUGAAAUGCGUUGAUAUCAUUAGGAACUCCGGUGGCGAAGGCGGCUCGCUGGAUCUCUUCUGACGCUGAGGCGCGAAAGCCAGGGGAGCAAACGGG